rnacentral:misc_RNA from 1 species
CAGAUUUCCUUAGUUCUCCUUCUGAA